GCCAGACUCCUACGGGGGGCAGCAGUGGGGAAUAUUGCACAAUGGGGGGAACCCUGAUGCAGCGACGCCGCGUGGGUGAAGGAGCACCUCGGUGCGUAAAGCCCUAUCGGCAGGGAAGAAACAGACGGUACCUGACUAAGAAGCCCCGGCUAACUACGUGCCAGCAGCCGCGGUAAUACGUAGGGGGCAAGCGUUAUCCGGAUUCACUGGGUGUAAAGGGAGCGUAGACGGCGACGCAAGUCUGGAGUGAAAGCCCGGGGCCCAACCCCGGGACUGCUCUGGAAACUGCGGCGCUGGAGUACGGGAGGGGCAGGCGGAAUUCCUGGUGUAGCGGUGAAAUGCGUAGAUAUAUGGAGGAACACCGGUGGCGAAAGCGGCUCUCUGGCCUGUAACUGACACUGAGGCUCGAAAGCGUGGGGAGCAAACAGGAUUAGAUACCCGCGUACG
rnacentral:rRNA from 1 species